rnacentral:lncRNA from 1 species
GUCACAGACACAGCAAAAGUAUGAAUGUGGCCAGCUUCAUUUUCUCUUGUGAGAUAGAACAAAUGGUCCAGGUGCUUUGUAUCAAUGGGCUCUUGGAGCACAAGCCCUUACUGACUUCACCUAUGUAAGCCCUGGGUCUGUCUGUUGGGAUAGUUGUAGCUGUACUUUGUCUCUACUGCAUGAAUAAUUUACUAUCUAGGUAUAUUCUGUGUACCUGUGGAUCACUUGAUAGACAUUUAGAUGCAAGUUUCUUUUUGGCAUCUAAAAAAAAAAAUCAAAACCAGUUCAAAGCUUUAAAAUUAUCAAAUGUGGGGUUUUGUUUUUUUUUUUUCCCCCUUCUGGCCUGUGUGACAUUUGAUUCUGUAGGAAAGAUAAGAAGUGGAUGACUUACACUUUCAGGUCAAAAGGUCUGAACUGAGGUUAACUGUUAGCACAGAGAACAAGUGAGGACAGGAGGAUAAAACUUCCCAGAGGGGUAAUAGGGAUGGAAAGAGGAGACCCUCGGAUUUAAACACACACGCACGCAUGCACACUCACUCUGUCUCCCCUCUAUCCUGUUUCUAUGGAGAAUAUCCUGGUUCUGGGGUUUUUCAUUUUGGCAAUAUUGCCAGAGGAGGAACAUGCCUAUAAUCACAACACUUGAGAGAUAGAAAGAAGCAGGAGGAUUAGAGCUCAGUGCCGCCCUAGGCUCCAUAGCAGGCCUUGACUGCAUGACAUUUCUUCCCAAAGAACGAAGUCCUACUCAUUGGCCCAAGGGGUAAAGUUUUCCAAUGAAUGUUGACUUCUGUAUGGCUGGGGGUUUUAGGGAUGGGAUGUAUAUUAUAAGGGUCAAUAUCAGCCAUCAUCAGUCUUAGCUGCAAAUAUUUUGACAUUAAUUUUUUUAAACACUUUUGUUUUUUUUAGAGUUAUUUUAUGUGUGGGUACACUGUCACUGUCUUCACACACACCAAAAGAGGGCAUCAGACCCCAUUACAGAUGGUUUAAGCCACCAUGUGGUUGCUGGGAAUUGAACUCAGGACCUCUGGAAGACCAGUCAGUGCUCUUAACCACUGAGCCAUCUCUCCAGUCCUUGACAUUAAUUUUACAAAUAUCUAUGACCUCAUUUAGUCAAAGUGAAGGUGUUUAUAUGAUUUUUAAAAAUCAAAAUAUGGAACUACCGAAUAUAAUUUUUAAACUUUACAGGCAAUGGCAGGCCAAUCUCUGUGAGUUCAAGUCUAGCCUGAUCUACAUAAUGAGUUCCCGGCCAGCCAGGGCAACAUAGUGAGACCCUAUCUAUAACAAAAGCUUCUUAUUUCUAAGGCAAACCCAGUGAUAGGUGGCAUUUUUGAUGACUACACUAAUAAUGUUCCUUGAAUGUGUCUUUACUAUUUUGUGACGCUGGGAACCUAACCCUAACCCAGGACUUUGUCCAUGACUAUAACUGCUCCACCACCAAGCUGCACCUCUAGACACGAGGGCCACAGAUUUUUGGAGCGCGAGGAAGUUUGGGGUUUUUUUUUGCCUCAUAGAUUAUGCUGUUGUGAAAGUAAAGUCCUACCAGUAAAUAUCUGUGUUCGUGAUAAUCUAGGAAUCAUCUAGAACAGUGAGCUGUUUUUAGGAUCUCUAUUUGAGACUUCAGAAAGGUGGAGUAGUUUUGGUUUGGUUGCUGGGGAGUGACCCAGGCCUGCACGUGUGAAGCAGGCAAUGCUACCACUAAGCUACAACCUAAGACCCAAAAUGGGGUAAUGAAUGUAUGCUGUGCUUCAGAAAGAUUUCCCUCAGCCUUCCAGAGGUGUCACAGGGUAGUGAGGCAGAUGUCACGUUCAGAACAAGGUUCCCUCUAAGACGGGAGUCUGUGUGCUGAGGAGGUCUUACUGUGGGGUGAGCUGCUGGUGACUGACCUGUGCUGUUUUGCAGUGUAUGCUGACGGCAGCAUAUGCUUAGACAUCCUGCAGAACCGAUGGAGCCCCACGUACGACGUCUCCUCCAUCUUAACUUCAAUUCAGUCUCUGUUGGAUGAGCCGAAUCCAAACAGUCCGGCCAAUAGCCAAGCAGCACAGCUUUAUCAGGAAAACAAACGGGAGUAUGAGAAGAGGGUUUCGGCCAUUGUUGAGCAGAGCUGGAAUGACUCAUAAUAGACACCUGGUCUGUCCACCUUUCCAUCGUCGUUGUGUAUAAUUUACCUCCCAGUAGGAAGGCUAGCAAGUUUUAAGUGCCACGGGUUUUAAGGAUUCUGCAGAGAAAAAAGAAAAAGUCCUUCAGUUUAGAACCUACAAAAGCUUGUGUAUCUUGAUUAAUGUACUUUUUAUUGCAUGGUGUGAACUAAGUUAUUGCUGCAUAAAUUUGUAAUAUAUCCUGUUUGUAUUUUUUUCCAAGUGUAUAAUGUUGGUGUGGAGUUUUCAUGACAGAAUAUACACAUUUUGUAAAUCUGUACUUUUUUCAAAUAUUGAAUGCCUUAUUUUUGAAUUCUUUAGAUUUUUAAAUUGGAGAAAAGCACUUAAAGUUUUUUAUAUAUGAAUAUUACAUGUAAAGCUGUUAAAAUACAUAACUUCAGUGCAAG